CUACGGGCCGCAGCAGUCGAGAAUCAUUGUCAAUGUACGAAAGUAUGAACAUGCGACGCCGCGUGGAGGACGAAGGCCUUCGGGUUGUAAACUCCUGUCCUGAGGGAGUAAGUGCAGGGUGGUUAAUACCCACUCUGUUUGAGAGUACCUCAGAAGAAAGUCACGGCUAACUCUGUGCCAGCAGCCGCGGUAAUACAGAGGUGGCAAGUGUUGUUCGGAUUUACUGGGCGUAAAGGGUCCGCAGGCGGUCUUGUGUGUCAGAUGUGAAAUGCCACGGCUUAACCGGGGAAUUGCAUUUGAAACUGCAGGGCUAGAGUACAGGAGGGGAGAGGGGAAUUCAUGGUGUAGCGGUGACAUGCGUAGAUAUCAUGAAGAACACCGGUGGCGAAGGCGCCUCUCUGGACUGAUACUGACGCUCAUGGACGAAAGCUGGGGGAGCGAAGAGGAUUAGAUACCCCCGUAGUC
rnacentral:rRNA from 1 species